AUUAAAGCCCAUGCCCGUUGGAAACGCCUCAUACAAUAACUUGUGGUUUUACUUGACUCACAGGACUGACUGUUAGGUCUGUGGGAAGGAACUAUAAGACAGCU